GCCAGCAUGGUGUAGUGGUUUCAGCAUCGGACUAUGACUCUGGAGAGCAGGUUCAAAUCCCUCAUUGGCC